rnacentral:rRNA from 1 species
AUGGUGGUGAUGUACGCGUCACGGAGCAUGUGGAAGUUCCUGAUGUCCUUCUUGAGGAUAUGCUUGAAGGCACCACCAAAGCCCAGCCAGACCGGGAGGUGGAACCGUGUCUGCGUCCAUGCGAAGAUCCAUGGGAUUGCACGGAGUGAUUCAAUGCCACCACUUGGCUUUCUCUUGGAUGGCCUGCUCCCUAUAUUCAUCCUGCCAUACUCUGUCUCCGGUGUUGCCUGCGGAAAUACUCGACGAAGCGUGGUUCUUGGAAGACAAUUGACCGAUAUUCUUCAGUUGCCACCACAGCCAUCUCAUCGAGAAGAGCUCGCCACUCUGGCUUUGGUGAAAUGGGUGGACGCAUCCCAUGCUCAAGAGUAG